AUGAGAAGGCACAGCCAUCACAGCAGAGCUGGGGACGUGGGGACGUCCGUCAGCCUCCAGGGUGAGGCACACACUGCAUCUGGACCCUGUGCAGUGAGGCGUGUGCUAUCCGAGGCUGGCCGUGCCCGACUCCCUGCACAGGGGGCUCGUGCCCUGCCCACCACAGAGCCGCCCCACCAGGGCGGCGGUCCCCUGCGACGGAGGGCCCCCCACGCUGCCGGCCGUCGUGUCCACAUGCCUCCGCCAAGUCACACCCAGCCCCAGCAGAAACGUCUACAGAGAGCGCAGGAGUUUCCAACUGUGGGAAGUGGAUACUGGCGCCUGUUGACUCAAAUUCUUCUUAAUUUUUAUUUUUCCAGCCGCUGCGAGACUCCCCGAAUAAUUCUCUCAGGUCUUCUGAUGAGCAGUUGCCAUUUUCCCUUUCAGAAAACUGGGAGAGGAAGGACCCGGGCAGACCCUGGCGGCAGUGGGGGGCAGAGCCGGCCUGUCCCCGGCCUCUCCCGCCUGCGGCCUUGGUCCCUUCCGGGGAAGCGAUUUGACCGCAGAGCCGAGUUCUCCACCUGCUCCAGGCACGUCAGAGGGGCGCCCUCACCGUGCUACAGACGGACGCUCGCCCCUCAAGGAGUCACCCCAAGUCACACGCCUGCUCUCACCGCCCAGAGUCUCUUACAUCCCCAAAUCCUGACUUUGUCGUCCGCCCCCGCCCCCCCGCCCAGGGCUGUCGGCACCACACGUGGCCUCCUUUUCGGGACCUACUGGGCGCCAGUGGAUUAGAAGCCACGCAGGAGACGGAAGUUUCAGGUUAGUGGGAAAACCCCUGGCUUUUUUGAAACACUGUCCUUGCGCUUAAUUUUAAUUUCCAGACCCUGGAAAACAUUGCCUAUGUGAGAAUGGACCACAGUCACCAGUCGGCCGCCAGGAGAGUGACAGGCUGGCUUCCUCUCCCAACUCAGGUUCCCAGACACGACACCACAGGGGCCUCGGGCCGCGUCCGCCUGGGCGGGUCGCACUGAGAUUUCGUCUGGGAGCCGAAGGUUCCCGGGGGGGCGGAGGGGGGGAUGCCCGGGGGGGGGCGGAGGGGGGAUGCCAGGCGCGGAAGGACCGCCGAGUGGCUGAAUUAGAUCCUUGAUUUCAUCAGCUGCCUUGGGUUGGCUGUGAUCCUCUUUCGUCAAAAGGAAGCCUCGGUUUCCCUCAUUUUGACUGUCGGGCUGAAACAGCAGCUUAACAGAAACACCCAAGCGUCACGACAACACACUCUGUAAAAAUGGGGCAAGAGCAAGACAGGACUCCCUGCAGAGGCGCUCCCCCUGCACAGGGACUGAGACCCAGGGGACUUCAAAACAAGGCCCCUUUCAACUAAGAGGACAAGCAUUGCCUGCGUACGCCAGACACGGGGCCUCUCGCACACAGGGCACUGGAACAGAUCACGCUCCCCAGUGCGGGAAGCUCACUGUUUCUUAGAAUAGCCAUCCAUAAAGUUAGCUUUGUGGCUUACAAAAAAGGACCAAGUCAUGGAUGUGAAGAAACGCCCGCCUUUGGACGCCCACCGAGCUUUCCCACGCGGGGCGCCCUCGGCCCCUGUGUGGGGGCCUCUCAGGUCCACGCCCGCUGCCAUGUGACCUUUUCGAGCUCCCGCUCCCUCGGCCAGGUCGUCUGUUUUCCCUUCAUUGUUCUGCUACUUCUAACUGCAGUUUCAAAGAUUACACGACUGCCCCAAAGACCCCGAGCACGAAACUGAAGCAUUUCAGGAAGGUGGUUGACCCGCCGCUAGGCCAGAGCUGUGGCUAAAUCUCUGCCUUCGCUGGACUUUGGCAGAAGAUUUUUAAAUCUGCAAAAGAUGUCACACAAUUGGAUUUUACUUGACGUGAUGACAACUUCAUUAAAAUAUUUAAUUAAUAAAAUAUUUAAGAAAAAAAUGUGGCCCCCA
ensembl:lncRNA